rnacentral:rRNA from 1 species
AUUGAACGCUGGCGGCAUGCUUUACACAUGCAAGUCGAACGGCAGCGCCGGCUUCGUCCUGGCGGCGAGUGGCUUACGGGUUUGUAAUGCAUCGGAACGUUCCCAGUAGUUGGGGAUAGCCCUGCCAAAGCCGUAUUAAUACCCCAUACUACCUGAGUCUGAACGCGGGGGCCCGAUAUGCCUCGCGCUCUUUGCCCGGCCGCUGUCGGAUUAGCUAGUUGGUGGGGUAAGGGCUUACCAAGGCGACGAUCCGUAGCUGGUAUGAGAGGACGACCAGCCAGAGUGGGAAUGAGACACGGCGGAGAGGGGUAGGGGAGGCAGAAGUGGGGAAUGAACGAAAAUGGGGGCAAGCCUGAUCCAGCCAUGCCGCGUGAGGGAAGAAGGCCUAGGGGUAGGAGAGCGCUUUAGAGCGGGAAGAAGGCCGAGGGGAUAAUACCGGAGGGGGAUGACGGUACCGUAAGAAGAAGCACCGGCUAAAUACGUG